GAGAGGCCGCCAUGCUGCGGGAGCUGCGGCGGCGCUGGCGCUCCUACAAGUACCGCUUCGUGCCCUGGCUCGCCCUCAACCUCCGCCGCCAGCGCAGGACCCUUCGAUAUGUUCCUGAAAGCUCUCAAGACAAAAUUAUUGCUGAUGAAGACGUCUUUGAAACACUACUGAAAACAUUUAAAGCUCUGUUCAUUAAUGACUUUAGUCGACAAGCAGAUAUUCUGGCCUUACUUCCAGAAGUCAAGUGUCAAUAUCUAGAAUUACUUUCUGUGGAGCAGAAGCAAUCAGAAGUAAACUCUUGUAACCAUCAGGGUCAGCAUGUGUUUAGUCCUGAGGAGGUUUUGUUCAACACUCUUGGGUUCACUGUUAGCAGAGACCGGAGUUCGCUGGUGUCUGCUGGAACUGGAGUCUUUGUUACCAGAGGUUUUGUUCCCAGGGGGACGGUGGUGUCUAUGUAUCCUGGUACAGUAUACAGAAAGCAUGAGCCCAUCUUUUUCCAGUCCCUUGGCAAUCCCUUUAUUUUUAGGUGCAUUGAUGGUGUUCUUAUUGAUGGGAACGAUAAGGGACUGUCAAGAUCAGUGUACAGGUCUUGCAGCAGAAGAGAUCAACUUGGCCCUUUUCAAAUGAGUGAUGAGAGCUGGCUCACAGCCACCCUGCAAAACCCACUGGCAGUGGGACAGUACGUCAACAACUGCUCACAUGAAAAAGCAGCAAACGUGUGUUAUCAAGAGUUUGACGUGCCAGGACAUUUUCCUGUAGAACUGAAGCAGUAUCUUCCAAACAUUGUCUACAGCCAUGACAUAGAGAGGUUGGCAGCAAAUGAAAGAGCUCAUAGAUUUGUAUGAUACAAAGCAUCCUGCAUGUGUAAGGAAGAGACAGACAUGGUUGAAAAGUAGCAAACUGUAUGAAGAUGAGUUACACGAGAGUGUGCAACUAUAUGGGGGAGUUACCUCUCUGAAUAGACUAUUUUUAGUUACAAGAUUCCUCAUUCUUUUUUUCACAUUUUCACACAUGAAAUCAGCAUAUCUUUGACGACACAGUUUUACAAGCAGUGUUGCACUAUAGUGCAAUUCUUCUUAAUCCCAUAAAGCAGUAAUUGUACUUUGUAAUACAGUACUGAAGCUUUUCAGUACAUAUCUCAACUCUGUUUCAGCCUUGACCAAAGCCCUUCUGAGAUAAUUCAGAUUUAGGCUUCUUACUCUCUGUUCUCUAUGUCUUCUGCUUAUGUGACAAAAGGCAGAUGAAUUUGCAAGAAGAAACCUAAAAUUGUAUAGAGAGAAGUAAAAUACUAUGCAAUAUUAGGACAUAUAGUUACAGUACAAUUAGGAAAAUUACAGCAUCCUGUUCAUGACUUGAAAGUCCAGCUUUUUUCAGAAAUUAGAAUACUUGGAAAUAUUUCUGAGAUAAAUCUCCUAAUUCAAGGAUGUAUAAGAAUUUUAGAGCAUAUGAUCUGAACAUUUAGUGUAAUUCUGGAGUUAUUUAAGUACUCUGAAAUUUCAUUGGAGAAAGUUGUGCAUAUUGGAAAAAAUGCUUUUCUGAUAAAACAUAGAGUUUGUUGAGUGAAGGUCAAAGAUGCACUUGGAAUCUGCAGAUAAUUAAGUAAGUGCUAAUAAAAUAAGCAGUGGGACUAAAUUCUCAGGAAGCCUGGAUACUGUACUUGAAGUGUGAAAGCACAUAAACUUUAGGACUGCUGCAGGAAGGGGGAAUUUUGCUCUUGCUUGGAAUCUGUCCAAGAAAAUACGGUCUUCUGGUCAUCAUUUCUCCCAGUGUGCUGCUGCCAGACAAAAAUCCCAUCUGCUUCUAGGUGCUCAUUUCAAUACUCAUGUAUACCAUACUGACAACACAGAUUAUCUGGUUUCUAGAUCUUUUUAUGUCUUAUGGAACAGUUCUCAGUACUUACUUACCUUGUUGUUUCAUAUGUUUCAAAAUGGCCUCACACUAAAUUUCGAAUAGUGGAGACUUCAGUUCAUGCUGUUUUCCGCUUCCUGGUUCAUCAGUACACAAAGCAUGUGCUCCCCUUCUCAGAACACAUACUUCAGUUUUAGGGCAUCAUCAUUCAUUAAAAGGAAGUUUAGAGGGGUGGGUUUCUAUCCCUCUACAUUUCUCUGUGCAAAACUGCCUGCCAGCUCCUGAUUUUAGCUGACUGAGGGAGCUGGGGGUGUUUAUCCUGGAGAAAAGGAGACCCAGAGGUGACCUUGUCACCCUCUACAAGCUCCUGAAAAGUGGCUGUAGUCAGGUGGGGGUUGGUCUUUUUCACCAGGCAACAACUGACAGAACCAGAGAACAGAGUCUUAAGCUAUGACAAGGGAAAUACAGGUUGGAUGUUAGGAAAAGGUUUUUUAUGGAAAGAGUGAUAUAAGUACUGGAAUGGUCUGCCCAGGGUGGUGUUGGAGUCACCAUCCCUGGAUGUGUUUAAAAAAAAUUGGAUGUGCCAUGGUUCAGUUGAGGUGUUAGGGCAUGGGUUGGACUCAAUGGUCUUAAAGGUCUUUUCCACCGUAAUGAUUGUGUGAUCAUUGACCCAUCUCUGCAGAUGGCAGCAGGUCUCUGGUGCAGCUGGGAGCCGUCUUCCUGGGUGGUGGUGGGCCCUAGGAGAGACGCUUUAGCCAGCUGGCACCUGUGGACAGGUGUGUCCACAGGAAUGGCUUCUGCUGCAUGAACUUUGCUGUAGCUUCUGUUCCUGUUUGUCCACUUGAGAUGCGUAGUUCUUGUCACUCUCAGAGACAUCAAGCAAGGAGAGGAACUUUUUUCAAAUUACUACACUGUUGUCAGCUGAAUUAAUAGAUUCAAA